UACGUAGGGGGCAAGCGUUGUCCGGAUUUAUUGGGCGUAAAGAGCUCGUAGGCGGUCUGUCGCGUCGGCUGUGAAAACCCGAGGCUCAACCUCGGGCCUGCAGUCGAUACGGGCAGACUAGAGUGCGGUAGGGGAGACUGGAAUUCCUGGUGUAGCGGUGAAAUGCGCAGAUAUCAGGAGGAACACCGGUGGCGAAGGCGGGUCUCUGGGCCGUAACUGACGCUGAGGAGCGAAAGCGUGGGGAGCGAACAGG
rnacentral:rRNA from 1 species